CUCGCAGGGCGAACCGACCGCGCAAGGCGCCCCGACGGUGCGAUGCGAGGUGAUCUCACCGCCGAGCGCCACCGCUCCGCUCCACGCGCCCACGAUACAUGAGCCGUCUGCGUAUGUGCACGUGCCCUGGCCAGACGACCCCAGCGAUGGGUCCCACCCGCCCUCGUAUCGAAAGCCGUCGGGGCGCGUGACGAGCGCGUGCAUUGCACCCGCGGCAUCCUCGGUCGUUGUGCAGCGUUCUCCAUCGUGGCGGACAUAGACGCCGGCCCCGUGAGGCUUGUCGUUCUCGAAUGCGCCCGCGUAUUCGCUGCCGUCGGCCCAUCGGCAGACGCCCUGCCCGCACAUCAGGCCCCUGGCCCACCAACCGCGGUACAGGUAGCCGGUCGGGCAUCGCAGCGUCCCAUAGCCCAUCGGCAUGUCAUCGGCCCAUUGGCCCUCGUAGACCGCACCGUCGGAAAACACCAUGACACCAUAGCCGUGCCUCUUUCCACAGUGGUGGAGACCGCGAUAUGUGGCAUCGGGACCGACAUCCUCGCCAUAGCCGUGGAGCGUGCCACACUGCCACUGCCCGUCGUAUCGGUGGACUUGUUCCCCUCUGGCGACCGUGCAAAAACCAUAUCCGUGCCGCCUGCCGUCGCUCCAGUCGCCCUCGUAACGAUCGCCGUCGGCAUAGACCAUAGUGCCAGAACCUUGGAUCUCGUCCCUGACCCAGUCGCCCUCGUAGCGGUCGCCGUCGGCGUCUACACAUACUCCGUGGCCGUGACGCAAUCCCUUUUCCCAUGUGCCCUCGUAGAAUGUGCCAUUUGUCCAGGUGUAGACGCCAUGGCCGUGUGGUUGGUCGGCUUGCCAAUCGCCCUCGUAGCGGUCGCCGUCCGGGUAGACCAUCGACCCGUGGCCGCACUUGGCGCCCGCUUCCCACGCGCCCUCGUACACAUGCACGCCGGGCCAUACGCAGACGCCGUGGCCAUGGUACUUGUCCGCCUUCCAAUGACCGUCAUACGUGGCACCGCCAUAGGCAAUGUCGGCGACGCCGGUGCCGUAGCCGUGCCGUCUGCCGUGCCGCCAGUAUCCCUCGUAGCGACCCUGCGCCUGGCACACGACGCCAUCGUCUGGAAUCCUCACCGGGCAGCGGGUGCGCCUGCGCGGGAUUGGCAACGCCAUUCCGUAUCCGUGUGGCGAGCCGUCGACGAGAUCGCCCCAGUAGACCCAUGGAGUGUCGUCGACGACGAUGAACACGGCGCCCGUCUGUGGGCCGGCGCGGUCGCCGCCACCGACACGCGCCUGCGCCUCGUAGAGCCAGCGCCAGUCCUUGCCCACAUCUAGGAAGCGCCGGUGCAGUGCCGGCCCAAAGCAAACAUUGCACAGGUGGCGCCACACGACCGCGUCCAUCGCGAGCGCGUGGUGGCGCCUGCACGUCAACGCCCACCGCGCCACUGUCGCCACGUCGUGGCCCAUGGCGACAACGAUGGCAACGACAAUCUCGUCGGGGAGGUCUUCAAAUGGCGACGGCAGCCGUGGGUCGUAAAAGACGGGCUCUUGAAUGGCGUAGGAGAGGCCCCGGCGAGCCGACCCACGCCGGCGCCUUCCGUCCCUUGUGCGUCCUCGGCUCAUUGCGGUCGGUGGUUUCGGGAGUUGUGGCCGUCGGACUGACCCUUUGGGACACACGCAUGCCCUCGCUCCCCUUCUCAAAGCCACACAGCCAAUCCUGUCGAGAGAGCCGGGCGACGAAUCACAGGACGCACAUGCUCCUCAAUGUAUGCCACGGAAACCUGUAUGAAAAAACAUAGUAACCGAAAAAAGCAAGUGGCUACGCCCAAUGUUUGUGUCGGUGGCUGCAGAUUUUAGGCCAGCCCGCUGGGGCGCGACCAAGUCGACCUCUGACACGAAUCAAAGUCGCCGAUGCUGUUUUUUUGAAUCGUAAAUAAAAUCAUGC
rnacentral:lncRNA from 1 species